rnacentral:misc_RNA from 1 species
AAGUCGUAACAAGGUUUCCGUAGGUGAACCUGCGGAAGGAUCAUUAAAUUGAAACAAACCAAAAAAACACCACGUGGGCUUGCCCAUGUGCUGCAAGUUGUAAGUCUGCAUAGUUUUGAAAAAAACUGAUGAGCAGCGGCUUGCGUGUUUUGUUUUAACCCUUGUUUUUUGCGUACCUAUUGUUUCCUCGGCGAGUUCGCUCGCCGGCUGGACAAAACUUAUAACCUUUUUUAAUCUUCAAUCAGCGUCUGAAUUAUACAUAAUAAUUACAACUUUCAACAACGGAUCUCUUGGUUCUG